UACAGAGGGUGCGAGCGUUAAUCGGAAUUACUGGGCGUAAAGCGUGCGUAGACGGCUAUCUAAGUCGGGUGUGAAAGCCCCGGGCUCAACCUGGGAAUUGCAUUCGAGACUGAAUAGCUAGGGUGCGGUAGAGGGAAGCGGAAUUCCCGGUGUAGCGGUGAAAUGUGUAGAGAUCGGGAGGAACACCGGUGGCGAAGGCGGGUCUCUGGGCAUUACCUGACGCUGAGGAGCGAAAGUGUGGGGAGCGAACAGG
rnacentral:rRNA from 1 species